CACGCACACACACGGCCGAGACUCGGUGAUUACCAGCGGAUUAACCAAAGCUGAACAGAUUCGGAGGCGUCAACAACGAACACAAAACUUUGUCGUCUCAGCGCGACCAUGCAAAAGGGGUCCACACCCAACGUGGGGCUCGAACCCACGACCCUGAGAUUAGGAGUCUCAUGCUCUAGUGACUGACCUCACCGGCACAUAGUCUGUUCCGCCUUGUUCCAUGAAAGCACUCAGCCAAUGGCGCUUUAGGAGGUGAUGAGUGGACGUCUCGUCUGUGGUGGUAGAGGAUGAUGAGUGGACGUCUCGUCUGUUGUGGUAGAGGAUGAUGAGUGGACGUCUCGUCUGCUGCGGUUUGGCAGCACUGGGGUUAUUCUCUGAAGCUGGAAACAUACCUGCUCCCCACCAGAAGAAAUGGUUUGAUCUGUUUCAUAAGCGCUCGAGUUUCCUCGUGCACCGACCAGCCUUUUCUUUGCAUCCACCGAAGUUUAUAUUAUGGCCCACACGCCUUCCACCAGCGCCCGCCCGUGUUUAUUUCCCGUUCAGCGACCUUCCGCUUGUCUCUCUGCUUGGUGUCUCUCUCGGAGGUCGUAAGUGUUCCACCUGCUGCAAGUGUUCCACCUGCUUUACUCCACUCCUACUGCUGUAGCGCCCUCUACCUCCACCCCCACCAUUAUACAGCCUGCACUUACAUUAUCACUGCUCAUUCAUUAUUUUCAUAUUUCAGUAUUUACUCCACACGCAAUUAUCUCUGGAAGGUCCCCAAAGCCUUUUAUAGUCAUAUUGUCUUUUAUUGGAUAGAAGAUUAUUUGUGUUUUCUUCAAAAAGGGAAAUCAGAUCUUUACAUUUCCAGCACGUGUGAUUUUACAUGAAUUUUACAAAGUCACGGUUUGGUGAAUCCUUCAGCAACAAUUCAGCAGCCAAACCUAAUGUAAAUGUACCAAUGCAGAUUCCUGUCAUUUAAAAAGAUCUUCAUAUGUCAUUAUCAUCAUCAUUAUUAUGCUUAAGUUCAUAAUAUACAAUAUGUGUCUUUACAGCCUGGUAGUCAAAG